GUUAAAUGGUAAUUACGAUGAAAAGUAAGGCCACGCGGAUUGGAAGAGGGUGUGAGUUGACAUUGAAAACAUGGUUGAGUAAGGGAGCAACCAAACCAAAGGAAACGCAAAAGAGAGGAAGUAGAAGAAGAUAAUAUAAUUAGGCGAGUGUUGAAGAAAGGGUUAAGUUUGAAGCGAUGAGUUCGGGAAGCCAUAGUGAUAAGGAGAAGGACAAGCAGAGGGUGAGCCGCACGUCGUUGAUACUGUGGCAUGCUCACCAAAACGACGCCGCAGCGGUGCGGAAGCUCCUGCAGGAGGAUCCUUCGCUGGUGACGGCAAGGGAUUACGACAACCGCACCCCGCUCCACGUCGCAUCCCUCCACGGCUGGAUCGACGUCGCUAAGUGUUUGAUCGAGUUCGGCGCCGAUGUCAACGCGCAAGAUCGUUGGAAAAACACCCCUCUGGCGGAUGCGGAAGGAGCUAAGAAGACUGAUGUGAUCGAGCUUUUGCAAUCUCAUGGAGGCUCUUCUUAUGGGCAAACUGGUAGCCAUUUUGAACCGAAGCCUGUUCCGCCGCCGUUGCCGAAUAAGUGUGACUGGGAAAUCGAACCUACCGAGCUUGACUUCUCCACCUCCACGAGAAUUGGAAAGGGGUCUUUUGGUGAGAUUUUAAAAGCCCAGUGGCGUGGAACACCAGUUGCUGUUAAACGUAUUCUUCCAUCUCUUUCAGAAGAUAGAUUGGUGAUUCAGGACUUCAGGCAUGAGGUCAAUUUGUUAGUGAAACUUCGACACCCCAAUAUAGUUCAGUUUCUUGGAGCUGUCACUGACAGGAAGCCCCUUAUGUUAAUUACUGAGUAUCUGAAAGGGGGUGAUCUUCAUCAGUACCUCAAGGAUAAAGGUGCACUUAGUCCAGCAACAGCUAUCAACUUUUCCAUGGAUAUUGUGAGAGGAAUGGCCUAUCUUCAUAACGAACCAAAUGUUAUAAUUCAUCGGGACCUAAAGCCAAGGAAUGUUCUUUUAGUCAAUACUAGUGCCGACCAUUUAAAAGUUGGAGAUUUUGGAUUGAGUAAGCUUAUCACUGUCCAGAGUUCUCAUGAUGUAUACAAGAUGACCGGUGAAACUGGGAGCUACCGCUAUAUGGCUCCUGAAGUGUUCAAACAUCGGAGAUAUGAUAAGAAGGUUGAUGUGUACUCCUUUGCAAUGAUUUUGUAUGAGAUGCUUGAAGGUGAACCACCUUUUGCAAAUCUCGAGCCUUAUGAUGGAGCAAAACGUGCUGCUGAGGGUCAAAGGCCUUCAUUUCGGUCAAAGGGUUAUAUCAAUGAAUUGCAAGAAUUAACGGAACAGUGUUGGGCUCAUGACGUGAAUCAGAGACCACCCUUCAUAGAGAUCCUUAAACGUCUUGAAAAGAUCAAGGAGAAUUUACAUUCAGAUCAUCACUGGCAUUUGUUUGCAUCAUAAAUGUCUAAUAGCAUUAAUUUGUUCAGAAAUUCAGAUUAUUUAUUUAUCACUACCAUCUGGUUUGCUGCGGCAUUUAUGGAGUGAUUGGGCCAACUGGAAAUCCUGCAAAGUCAAUACUUGUUUUCAACUGUUUGGAUUAAUGAGCAGAACAGGGUUGGCACACCAUUGGAUAAACGUUGGACAUCUCUCCUUAUCAGUCAGUUUAUACCACUUUCAAUAUACAUCUUGAUGCGUUGCAUCACAUCCUGUCCGCAAAACAGUUUCCGUUCCAUCAAACACCUAUUUCCCUCUUUCCAUAUACACCAGAUAAUUGCAAACUACAAUCUAAACCAUAGUUCUUUAUUGAAUACACACUGCCUCUAUGCUGAUAGAAACGUGUUUCUGCUAACUCAGGGAAAACACUAUUA